AAGCUUGACGGGGGGUGUUAAAGCCCAAUCUAGUAGCACUUUUACACAACAGGCCCAAUAGUUAAUUGUAUAGGACCCGGGCCCAAUUUACAUUCCAUUACAUUUUAUAGUUGUAAAUAUAUGUACUCAUAAUUGAAUAAUAACGAGUUCAGAUGGUUUAUUUUCCCCUUUACACAUUUCUCUGUAUUUCUCUUUCUUCUCGACCCUUCUAGGGUUUUCUCAUUUCUUCAUCUUCCAUAGCUCAUCUGAGCUUCGAUCUAACAAAGUACGGUAGGGGCAGAGAGAAUUUCCGAUGAAGCGAUGAAAUGCGUAGAGAUCGAAAAGAACACCAAUGUCAAAAGCAUUCUGUUGGGGUGACACUAAUACUGAGAGCCGAAAACUAGGGAAGCAAAUGGAUUAGAUACCUCAGUAGUCCUAGCUGUAAACGAUGAAUACUAGGCGCCGUGCAUAUCGACUCGUACAGUGUUGUAGCU
rnacentral:rRNA from 1 species